rnacentral:rRNA from 1 species
UACAGAGGUGGCAAGCGUUGUUCGGAAUUACUGGGCGUAAAGGGCGAGUAGGUGGCCAUCUAAGUCAGACGUGAAAUCCCCCGGCUUAACCUGGGAACUGCGUCUGAUACUGGACGGCUUGAGUAUGGGAGAGGAACGUAGAAUUCCAGGUGUAGCGGUGAAAUGCGUAGAUAUCUGGAGGAAUACCGGUGGCGAAGGCGGCGUUCUGAACCAUUACUGACACUGAAUCGCGAAAGCUAGGGGAGCAAACGGG